rnacentral:lncRNA from 1 species
GAAGCCAGAUCAGAAAUUUCCAAAAAUGGAAACUGGACCUGUAACUGAAACUUACCAAAAAUGGAAAGUCUUGAUCCUCAAACUUACAUCAUGAUACAAGCCUCAAAUGAAUUUUUGCCCAACAUGAAAGUUGAAGAUCUUGUUCUCCCAUUUCCAAAAAGUCCAAGAACUCUCAAUUCCCAUGUGUGGUUGGCAAGUUAUGAUCGAAUCGAUUUCAGAAAAUCUUGAACUUCAAAGGGCCAUAUC